GACGAACGCUGGCGGCGCGCCUAACACAUGCAAGUCGAACGAGCGAGAGAGAGCUUGCUUUCUCAAGCGAGUGGCGAACGGGUGAGUAACGCGUGAGGAACCUGCCUCAAAGAGGGGGACAACAGUUGGAAACGACUGCUAAUACCGCAUAAGCCCACAGGUCGGCAUCGACCAGAGGGAAAAGGAGCAAUCCGCUUUGAGAUGGCCUCGCGUCCGAUUAGCUAGUUGGUGAGGUAACGGCCCACCAAGGCAACGAUCGGUAGCCGGACUGAGAGGUUGAACGGCCACAUUGGGACUGAGACACGGCCCAGACUCCUACGGGAGGCAGAAGUGGGGAAUAUUGCACAAUGGGGGAAACCCUGAUGCAGCGACGCCGCGUGGAGGAAGAAGGUCUGCGAAUUGUAAACUCCUGUUGUUGAGGAAGAUAAUGACGGUACUCAACAAGGAAGUGACGGCUAACGACG
rnacentral:rRNA from 1 species